GACGAACGCUGGCGGCGUGCUUAACACAUGCAAGUCGAACGAAGAGCGAUGGAAGCUUGCUUCUAUCAAUCUUAGUGGCGAACGGGUGAGUAACGCGUAAUCAACCUGCCCUUCAGAGGGGGACAACAGUUGGAAACGACUGCUAAUACCGCAUACGAUCUAACCUCGGCAUCGAGGAUAGAUGAAAGGUGGCCUCUACAUGUAAGCUAUCACUGAAGGAGGGGAUUGCGUCUGAUUAGCUAGUUGGAGGGGUAACGGCCCACCAAGGCGAUGAUCAGUAGCCGGUCUGAGAGGAUGAACGGCCACAUUGGGACUGAGACACGGCCCAGACUCCUACGGGAGGCAGCAGUGGGGAAUCUUCCGCAAUGGACGAAAGUCUGACGGAGCAACGCCGCGUGAGUGAUGACGGCCUUCGGGUUGUAAAGCUCUGUUAAUCGGGACGAAAGGCCUUCUUGCGAAUAGUAGAAGGAUUGACG
rnacentral:rRNA from 1 species